GCGGAUGCAGCUCGAAGGUCGAGCAUUGAUCUUCCCGAUCGAAGGUGCAGGUUCGAUUCCUGCCGUCCGCU
rnacentral:tRNA from 1 species